rnacentral:lncRNA from 1 species
CGCUGGGGUGCCUCCCUGCAUGUCCAGCCAGAUCUGGAUGACCGAUGCAGGGAGAAGGAAGAGGAGAUGAAGGGGAGGAGAAGAUAAAGCCCCGACAUCAGCUAGUGGCUGGGAAAGCGCCCGAAGCACUUUUCCUUGUCUUGUAGUACUUCAGAAGGCCGGAGGAGAACCGGACGAGUGAGCUUGCAAUUCAGUCCUAUUUUUCACAGCCGGAAAUCUAAGAGGGAGCGAUGGCUGGCAGGGUCUGUCGCGGACCGCGCGUCGCCUUGCACGCGUGUGUCACGGGCCUGGGAGCACGCGAGACGCAGGUAACCCUUCGCCUCGCCUGGCCCUUCUGCCCUGAUCCCAAAGCAUUCGACAAAGAAAAUCACAGUCAUUAACUGUAAUUUUACAGAUGGAAGAAGCUGAGGCUCGGAGAGCAACUGACUUUGAUGAAGGUCACUGUCCACGUGGGAAAUGGACCCCGUGUCCCCCAGCUCAGGGCUCGCUGCUAUUUCCAGCUCUGCCUUCAGCCUCCUUCCUGGCUCUGAGCGCGGUGCGUGGGCUGAGUCCUGCUCCCGGGGAGGCUCGUCGCGGUCUGCGGGGGUCGGCUGGCCUCCUGCCGCCUCGGUGUGAUCCCCUCCGAGAAGCUGUGAGCCCUCUCCUUCGCUCAGCGCAGCCGCAGGGAGCCAGGCUGGCGUUUCUGUCCCGGCUGCGCAGGCUCCGGCACCGAGAGCCUGGCCGGAAAGCGCCGCUCCUGCUGGGACAAGUCCUCACUGAACAGCACAAGAAAAGGCGGGGGCCCCCUCCAACNNNNNNNNNNCGGGGCGGGCAGCCAGGGCUGGGAGGAGAUGCACAGCAGUUUAAUCAUGGACCAAAAAGGAGAAGCGGUGCCCUUGCAAGCGCGAUGUGACAUAAAUUCCUCCGCCACCGCAGGGCCCUGGGGAGUGAGGUGUCCAUCACUGCAGCCCUGCGUCUCCCCCACAACCCUGUUCCUGCUGCCGCCUCGCCACGGUCCUUCCAGAGAGGCCCGGAAAUGCGAUGGAGCAACACUUCUAGGGGGAAAAGGGCUGAGAAGAGGUGUGCAAAUGGGGGCUGGAAACGUUGCUCACCACUGGCAGUGGUAAAGGGGGUGUCUAUGGUUUCUAACCCAAAUCCAGGCUGUGCCGCUACAGGCUUGUACGGACACAGCAAGACCGUCGUGCCCCCAGCGUAGGGAAGCUGAGGCGCAGCGGGUGCAUGCCUCCCCCUCAUCUGGAGGAGAGGGGCUCAGCCCCCGUGUGAAGCCAUGAAUUCAGGCCUGGCUCCCAGCCUCGCGCACGGCCCCGUGCCCUGUCGCUGCUCUCCUAUCCCACAGCCACCACCUCGACUGCUGGAAGCCGGGUCUCCCCCACCUCAAAGCCGGCAGCUCCCCUCCCAGCCCGAGGCUGCGAUCAGCGCGGCUCAACACCAGCCUCUCAGGGGACGUUUCAGGCCGGGGUUGGUGAAGGAGAUAAAAGGAAAAGAAGGCAGAGGCUAUGCUAUGCGGUGUGCAUCGCCUGGCCCCGAAGGGAGUUCUCCUGUUCUCCACAAAUGUCGAGGAAGAAAAUGCAGUGAAUCUCUCCCUCCUGUUCACUGCAGCUCCUUAAAGAAAAAUGAAAUGCUUUGAGCAAUGCAAAAGGGGAAGGAGGCAGCAGAAGGAGACCGACACUUGAGUCUCCUCCAAAUGUCAUUUCCUGGUGUAUAAAUGUCCUCAUAAACAGCAGGCUGAGGAAUUACUGGCUGCGCAGAGGUCUGAGCCCAGCCUUCCCAGGCCAUGCAUUAGGCAGCAAGGCAGGGCAAUAACUUGACCUUUUUGAAAUGUCCGGUGCACUGUUUUAUUGACUCUGCGCCCUCGUUGCUGAGAGGCACUUGUCAUCAGGCCCACCACAACGGCCCACCAUGAUCCUGCAUCCUGCUCCCGUGUGGCAGCACAUCUCCCAGCAAGCAGUGGGGAGAGCAUCUCCCAGACCUUUCCCUGCUCUCCAGGGUUUGUCACGCUCUCCAGCUGGUGCUGCCUCGCCUCUGGGGCCGGAGGUGCACGUGUGGGGAGCGUCUCCUCUCCGCAGGCACAUGGGGGAGGAUGAGCCAUUGCUGCCUGGAGCAAGGCACGAUCAGCUGCUCCUUCGAGCCAGGCUGGGGAAUGAUGGAUUGAAUGAAUAUCCAGUUCAUUAAAUGUUGUUUGUUCUAUUGUGUUUGCUGCAUGUCCCAGACUGAUGCCUAAUGAAUGCCGCUGAGCCCUCUAGAUUAAUAAAGAGGUGUUGAG